UAGCGUUGCUCGGAAUCACUGGGCGUAAAGCGCACGUAGGCGGAUUGCUAAGUCAGGGGUGAAAUCCUGGAGCUCAACUCCAGAACUGCCCUUGAUACUGGCGGUCUCGAGUCCGGGAGAGGUGAGUGGAACUGCGAGUGUAGAGGUGAAAUUCGUAGAUAUUCGCAAGAACACCAGUGGCGAAGGCGGCUCACUGGCCCGAUACUGACGCUGAGGUGCGAAAGCGUGGGGAGCAAACAGG
rnacentral:rRNA from 1 species